GGAGAGGUGGCUGAAUGGUAAAAGCGCUUUUCUGCUAAAGAAGUUUGGGGCAACCCAUUGCAGGUUCGAGUCCUGUCCUCUCCG
rnacentral:tRNA from 9 species